CACCCCAGCCAGCGGCGGCAGCGCACCGGCCGGCCGGCGGGCCCCACAGCGGCCCCCGGGCAGGUGCAGGGCGGGACCCCGAUGGACGCACGGACGGACGUGGACAGACAGCCUGUUUUUCCUUUGUGAGCUGCUUUUGGAGAAGCGGCACACACGUGUGGAUAGUGACGGUCGCACGGCGCUUAUGGCUACACAAGGCGAAGAAGAAAAUUAAAUUGGCAAACCCUCAGCGGCCUGCGCAUAAGGCCUUAAAGGGGAAGCCCUCCAUAGCUACCCGUUGCGUCUCCCACCCCACCGCCAGAAUCCUCAGGGAAGCCACCUCCGUCGGCAGAGGAUGUUUGUGUCUCCAGAGGCUGAUUUCCUUCGGCCUUGAGCUCAUAUAUGAAUUUGGGUGCAGCCAAGAGGAGGAUGAGCAGUAAAUUUUCCCCACAGACCACCUUGCCAGCAGAACCCGGGCAUGUUCUAGCCCAGUGAUGGCGAACCUUUUCGAGACCGAGUGCCCAAACUGCAAC